CCCUGCUCCAGCUGGGAUCCCUGGCUGGGACUGUCCCUGUCCCCUCCCCUGCUCCCGCCAGGCUCCCUCAGGCUAAAAGCACAAUUCCUUCGGGGCUCUGGCGAGGAGCAGGAACACCCCGGGAUGUGCAGGGACAUCCGGCCAGUCCCGUGCUGCUGCGAGGGCUGGGGUGACCCUGGGCUGGCCCGGGGGACGUUGGGGACCCCCCAGGGCUGUGUGUGGGGGGAUCCCUGACGGGAUUUCCCGCAGCGGGAGCGGGGAGGUCCUGGGGAGCCGCUGGGAUUUCCAGAUGAACACCUGCGCCUCCCACGCCUCCGGCGCCUUCCUGCUGGAGACAGCCAAGUUCUGCCCCGCCGACCUGCAGCUGGAGCAGCCCCUGGCUGCAGCCACAGGUGCUGCAGGACCUGACGAUGACGACACUGCCGAGGCCCUGGGGGAUGACAUGGAAGUGACUCUGGUCCCUAACGAACACAUUGAGGCUCAGAGGGUCUGUGGGGGCAGGGCCUUGUGGGGGGCUGCCUGUGCUCCUUCCUUGGAUCCCUGGAGCUCCUUCCCUGGAGCCCCAGAGCCUCGUGUUCCUUUCCCAGAUCCCUGGAGCCUCGUGUUCCUUCCCAGAGAGAGCCUUGUUGUCCCUCACCCCUUCCCAGGAACCCCUCACUCCCUCCUUGGAGUCCUGGAGCCCCUAAACUCAUGUUCCUUCCCUG
rnacentral:lncRNA from 13 species